GCUUAGGGCACAAAUAAUAACCUUGAAUGUGCCCAAUUCUGUCCGAUCUUGGAAGCGAAGCAGGGUUAGGCCCGGUUAGUGCUUGGGCGAGCGACCACCACGCACAAACAGGUGUUAUAGGCU
rnacentral:rRNA from 1 species